UUCGUUGAAGGGCAAACUGUCGGCGACGGCAGGGCGCAAAGCCUCCGGGCUCCAAGGAGCUAGCGGGGCCGCCAGC
rnacentral:ncRNA from 1 species